AAGUUCCUGUCGCUCGCCGCUCUCCAUGGCAGCCGUAGCGGGGGAGGCAGGCGGGGCCGCGCUGCUGCCAGCCUCCCCCUGCGCGGGGAGAGCGAUCCCAGCCGGCAGCGCCGCCCUGCCAGCGGCCGCCGCUGAGGGGCGCUGGGGCGCCGCCCCGCAGCCUUGUGCCGCCGGCAGGGCCCUCCCCCUCCUGCUUCGCCCCACGCCCCCCUGCCGGCGCAGCGCACCGGAGGGCCCUUACGGCGGCCGCGCCGCGGGGCUGGAGCGCAGCCGGGAGCGGUGGGAAGCAGUUGGGAUUCACUUUCCCCCUGCGAGCGUCACCGCGGGGGCAGCCGAGGGAGCUCACCAGCGCCGCGGGCGACCGCGAGUCAGAGGGCAGGAGCAGCGGCUGCGGCGCGGAGGCUGAAGUCCGCGGGAAGAAGUGUAUAAAGCUGCUCCGUGAGGCGGAUGAAUGACUGGACUGAGAAUGCUUUCUGUGCGGAGAAGUGGUGUGGAACUUUUAAGUCUGUCCAGCAUCAACCAACACACAGCUGGAACCUGGGAUGCGCAAGCUUUAAGCUACUACCGAAACUGGGGAUGUGAGUGGGACCCACUGAUGGUCCUGGUCUUGUCAAAGAAUUACAGAACUUGGUUCUUGUAAAGGGAGCAAACUGUUUUCUUAAUCUAUGACCUAUGGCAUAUGUGUAAGGCAAGGGAAAACAAGUGGUGUAGCUCAAGUGUUCAAGGAUAUGGACUCAUCUCUGGGUAGCUCUUCCAAGUGCAAUGAAGUGACAAAAGAUAAAAGGAAAAAAUACUCUCUUUUUAGUUGGGAAGAAAAUGGAAGCUCUGUGAACUCAAUUAUACAACAUACAGCUUGUAUUUAAACAAUAUAGUUUUCCAAAUGGUUGGAUGUUUUAUUUAUACAUUUGUCAAAUAAUAUAUAAUGUAGAUGAAAAGACAAAAAUAAUAGAAGAAAAUAAUGGAAGACAAAUGGCAAUGUUAUUCUGAGAAACUUGUUAAAGCAACUAAGAUAGAUUGGAAAACUGAUCAGACUCUUGUUUUUUAAAUACAGUUUGUGUUUAAGGCCCUGUUUUCUUAGUAAUAUUUGGAAUUAAAAGCUACAAAUAAAGCGUACAAUCUAUCAGUACUGUAGUAAAAUUCUAAAACUAUUAUUUAAAUACCUGCAAGGUAGAGUUAGACUAUUAGUUCAAAGAUGAAAAAAGUAAAUGAAUGAAAACAAGAUGAAACUUUAACAUGCUUGAUUUAUUGCUCACUAGUAUUUCGGACUUGGCAACAGGUUUUUUGAUUACUUGAAUUGGCUUUUGUGUAAGCGCAAGCACAUAUGAACAUAUUUGGAAUUAUCCCCAUGCAUAAGUAACAGUAGAAUCAGAACUCAGCUUUGUGAAAUGGCUAAACAGGGAAUGGCAGCCAUGGUGGUUUCAUUAGAGUUCACUGUAAUGAACCCCAGGUUACACAGCUUAAAACCAAAAAUCUAACCUAGCAAAGCAAUGAGGUAUGCGUUAAGAAGUCAUAAACCUACUCAAAAUAAAUGCUUUUCUUGUUUUCUUUUAGCACCUUUAUAUUUUGAACUAGAAAAAUACUGGAAGCUGCAAUAGAUGUAAGAAACGUUCUUGACACUUAAAAAAUAGGUUUUUACUCUUAAAAAAUAGGGGGGGUUACUUAUAUCAAUGUAGACAGAAGUAUUUAUAACUUCAUAUAAAUGUAAUAUAUCCCAAGUAGUCUUGAAGUAGUUACAAUGCAUUGCAAUUGUUUUAUUAUAACAAAUAACUUAAGAAUUUCUGUAUAUUGUUGUGUAAAGGAAGUGUUUUGACGUGCAGUUCUGUCUGAAAAUAUAUAAUCUAAGUUUACAAAAAAAAUAAUUUUGAAUUAUUCUGAAUAAACACUUUCCCACUGUUUCUGUAGUUUAUAUGCCAAUGGGAGAGGUACAAACAGCUAAAACAGCUAGCAAAAUUACAUGCUAAGACACUGUAAAUAGGUACAGAAACCAAACUAAGCCAUUCUAAAAUAAUUAGACUGAAACGGUUCUACAGAAAAUUAGUGGCAUCUCUUUUACGUAGAUAUAUAAAUCUUUUUACAGGUGCAAAAAUGUGUAGAGGGCACAGCAAAAAUGUUUCCAGCUGAUGAAAACUGAGGAAUAUCAAAUUUUUGUUUAAUCAGGGCUGCUAUGAAGCCACUUUUUAAUUAAAAUUGGAAUUGUUAAUUUUGCUAACAGAAGAAUUGUUGUAAUCAAAUUCUUUCUUUGUUUCCAUUUUAAUAUAUCUGAAAUUUUCUCCUCAAGAAAUUGUUACUUUCCAAAGCUUAGUUUUUUACUAAUAUGUUCAGAUAAGAUUUUCAUAAUGGGUUGAGAACGUAGAUGUGUUAAUUUCAGAUCCUUUUAUUAUUCAAUUUGUGUUAGCAUAAAAAAGUUCAAAGAGAAGCAAAUGACGAAGUUAAGACAUUCCAGACUUUUAAUGAAUUUAUAAGCCACUGUCACCUGGUACCACUUGAAAUCCAUAAGCAAGAGCACUUAACUGAUACACACAGAGGGUGCAGAUGGGAAUAGAGGAAGGUUUGGCAGACUGCAUGGAUUUCGUUUUCUAAACAAAGAUGAUUACAGCACGUACAUUUUGGGCAGGGAAGGUUAAGGUAGGUUUGUUUGUUCUCCCUUCACCACUGCAUAGCUGUAGUCCUCUUAGGAGAACAGACUUACACAAACAUGAUGUCUGUACAUGUAUUGGUGUAGAUAGUAUAAUAAACCUUUUCCCCAUCACUUUUUGAAGUAUUUAGUGUAACUUGUAUGUAAAUCCAGAUAACAGAGUUCUUUUUGAGGAGAAGGACUACAAUCCAGACUAAUUCCUUAGCUGAUACAGCUGUCUCUGUUGGUGCCUCUGCUCUGUGGAAACUUUUGCAUGUGGACAACUGGAACCCCCUGCAAAUCAAGUACUUCUCAUAAAUGAGGUUUACUUACUGUGGAGUGAGGAACUAUUUGCUUUGCUUUCUCAUUGUUUUAAAGGCACUGUCUUGUGAUGGGUCGGCAGGUUGCUGCUCAGGAGUCACAGCUUUUCUCGGAUACCUGUAUUGUAGUCUGUGUGGAGAAGCAAGACUGUAGUUACAGCACCUCUUCCAGUAGAAGUUUUGUUAGUUGAUGGAACACAAGCAAUGGGACUGGGAAACGUUAUGUCAUGCUUAAGGAUCAAUGAAAGAACAGACAUUGACACAGAGGCUUGUGGAGACCCUGGAAACAUAAAGAAUAGAUGAGGCUGAUGAAACCAGUGGUGUCCUUGUAAGAAGAAGAGAGGGGUGGGGUGAAAAUAAAGCCAUUUCUAAGCUAUUGCACGUGAAGAAACAGGCUACAGCACUUUCUUGGGGUGGGACCACAAUGGUGUGGGGUAGCUCUAUGAAGAGCAGAUGUUGUAGGUCUAAGAAGAUUUUUGGUUGGUAACAGAAGAUAUUUUAAGGACAGUCUUAACUUCAGAGCCCUACAGUUAAAUUCUGAAAACAUACAGCUUUUCAGUAGUGUACACACAUCUGGCAGUUGCAGGAAACUGCAAGUUCCUUAUGUUUGCAAAUAGCCUCUAGAAUCAUGCUUAACAUUUUAGCAAAUACAGGAUGUACACCCCUGUUUUCCUGGAACACUGACCAUCUCUUGCAAUUCCUGAUAAGCUACUAUAACAUCUGAAGUGUGCAUAUUUACAUACAACCACUUGCUUUGGAGCCAAAUUUUGCCCCACCCACAGCCCCCACGCCUUAAAGGACACACUGAGCAUGACUUGCAUCUAAAAUUGUGACAUUGCAUUAGUCAUCAUUUCUUCAUUCUAAAGCUUUAAUUUCACUCGUUGCCCUCAUUUUUAGAGAGUUUCCCCUCCACAACAUUUUCAUAUCUAUUCCUGACUCUGAACUUGCUGGAGUUGCUGCUAACACUGCUUUUUAUUUAACUCAGGAAGCCUCAUCGAGGAGCAACAGUGAUGGCUAUCUCAGUGCCUGCUACACAUAAGCAUGAUGGAGACUUAAGAGGUUUCCCUGGAUACAUCAGAAUGGCUAAAUGCACUCUGAAGGAUGAAGUUUUAAAUUGUCAGAAGCAAGUUCUGCUUGGGGAGACAUUUUCUAUUUAGCCACAAGGGGAAAGCCCAUACUGGCGCCAUGGAAGAACAGCGCAUGCACAAGUUUGGGGAGGCAAUUUUAUAAAGUUCAGACAAGAUAAAAGCACUUCACCUGUGGA